CUUUCAACGAUAUCAAAAAAUCUGAAAGAAGAAUGUUAAUAAUUUUUAAGUGUAACAAAGAUAUAAAAUAUAUAUUUUAAAAGAUAAAUAAAUAUAUUUUAUAAAUGCAAUAAAUUAAUACGAAACUUGAUUAAUCGUAUAUGUUCGUUGACGAUGACAGCGAGAUCACCAUUGAAGUUAUUAAAUUGUUUUGUAUUGAUUAUUCGUUCUUUAAGGUUCUCCAUUUGUCCACACAAAUGAAAUAUCAAUAAUCCAAGUAAAUUAUCUACGCCAGUGUAAGAUGCAGAAGACAUUAAGAGUAGAAGGGCUUGCGCAACGUACGUGAGUUCGUAAUAUGGACUUUGAUCUUUGUCGUAGAAGUAAUGGGUUUGCAAAGGUAUAUUAAAGAAUGAGGUUCUAAAAAGCGAAACCUUUCGAUUUGGCUGCAAAUUGGUAUACUAGUUCAUUUUGAUGCGCUGAAUAGGAAUAUUAUAAGGAAAGUCACCGACAAGGUCAUCUUCAAGGUUUGAUGGAUCAAGCGCAUUCUGCUUGCAAUGGUGUGCCAUUCUCUACCAUCAUGGAAUCCUCCGGCUACUCAUGCGCGCGUUAUUUAUGAUCGUGUGACGGUGGCAGGUGCUUUGCGUUGUCGUGCUCGAAUAUGAGAGAAAUAAUUAUUAGGUUUUUAUAUCUAAGUUGUUAAUUAUCUUUGCGGACAAAAUUAUGCGUGUAAUGAGUUUGCGUAUUAAAAAAAGUAUGAGAUUGAUAUUAUUUAUACAAAUAAUUUUGUUACGUAGAUCUGAUUAUCUUACUAAUAACAAGUAAUAAUGUUACUGAUAUCGUUUCUUUCGCGCGCAAUAAAGUGCUUACAAAAAAAUAA